UACGUAGGGGGCAAGCGUUGUCCGGAAUCAUUGGGCGUAAAGCGCGCGUAGGCGGCCUGGUAAGUCCGCUGUGAAAGUCAAAGGCUCAACCUUUGAAUGUCAGCGGAUACUGCCAGGCUAGAGUCCGGAAGAGGCGAGUGGAAUUCCUGGUGUAGCGGUGGAAUGCGCAGAUAUCAGGAGGAACACCGAUGGCGAAGGCAGCUCACUGGGACGGUACUGACGCUGAGGCGCGAAAGCGUGGGGAGCAAACAGG
rnacentral:rRNA from 1 species